GGUGAAGAUGCCGGUUACCCGCAACUAGACGGAAAGACCCCGUGGAGCUUUACUAUAACUUGAUAUUGAAAUUUGGUAUAACGUGUAGAGGAUAGGUGGGAGACUGUGAGACUAGGACGCUAUGUCUAGUGGAGUCAACCUUGGAAUACCACCCUCGUUAUAUUGGAUUUCUAACUUGAAUCCAUUAUCUGGAUUAAGGACAGUGUCUGGUGGGUAGUUUGACUGGGGCGGUCGCCUCCCAAAAAGUAACGGAGGCGCUCAAAGGUAUCCUCAGUAUGGUUGGAAAUCAUACAUAGAGCGCAAAGGUAGAAGGAUGCUUAACUGCGAGACUUACAAGUCGAACAGAUACGAAAGUAGGACUUAGUGAUCCGGCGGUCCCGUGUGGAAGGGCCGUCGCUCAACGGAUAAAAGUUACCCCGGGAUAACAGGCUUAUCUCCCCCAAGAGUUCACAUCGACGGGGAGGUUUGGCACCUCGAUGUCGGCUCAUCGCAUCCUGGAGCUGUAGUCGGUUCCAAGGGUUGGGCUGUUCGCCCAUUAAAGCGGUACGCGAGCUGGGUUCAGAACGUCGUGAGACAGUUUGGUCCCUAUCUGUUGUGGGCGUUGGAAAAUUGAAAAGAGCUGUUCCUAGUACGAGAGGACCGGAAUGGAUGCACCUCUCUGGUCCUGUUGUCACGCCAGUGGCAUAGCAGGGUAGCUAUGUGCAGAAAGGAUAAUCGCUGAAGGCAUCUAAGCGAGAAGCCUCCUUUAAGAUGAAUUUUCCCAUUCAUAAGAUGUAAGAUCCCAUGUAGACCACAUGGUUGAUAGGAUGGAUGUGUAAGUGCCUGUGAGGCAUUAAGCUAACCAUUACUAAUAGAUCGAGAGAAUUUUA
rnacentral:rRNA from 1 species